UUCAUGCGGCGCCAAAACGGCAGCCUCAGCUUAGAGACGGAAGUGAAACUCAUGCGAUCCGACCAUCGUAUGGGCAAGAGGAAUUCUCUGCUAUCUCAGGACUCGGAUGGUACGUGCGGGAGGUUUCAACGUUAGAAUGUUCAACGUCAGAAUGGAUCCAUUAAUCUGUCUGAAUCAACCAUGG
rnacentral:ribozyme from 1 species